rnacentral:misc_RNA from 1 species
GAUGAAGAACGUAGCGAAAUGCGAUACGUAGUGUGAAUUGCAGAAUUCAGUGAAUCAUCGAAUCUUUGAACGCACAUUGCACCUCUCGGUAUUCCGGGAGGUAUGCCUGUUCGAGCGUCAUUUGUACCCUCAAGCUCUGCUUGGUGUUGGGUGUUUGUUCCGCCUCUGUGUGUGAACUCGCCUCAAAACAAUUGGCAGCCGGCGUACUUGUUUCGGAGCGCAGCACAUUUUACGAUCCAGAUCAACGUACAGCGGCAUCCAAGAAGCCUUAUUUAACGCUCUUGACCUCGGAUCAGGUAGGGAUACCCGCUGAACUUAAGCAUAUCAAUAAGCGGAGGA